UCCGUAGUCAAAGAGCGUACGGUGGAUGCCUUGACAUUUUUGGACGAUGAAGGACGUCGCAGGGUGCGAUAAGCCUCGGGGAGGUCCCAAGCAACCUUUGAUCCGGGGAUUUCCGAAUGGGGAAACCCAUUUUGAUGAAAAUCAAAAUAUCAUACACUGAAUACAUAGGUGCAUGAAGUACACCUGGUGAAGUGAAACAUCUCAGUAACCAGAGGAAAAUAAAGAAACAAUUGCCACUGAUUUUCUUUCACUGACCGGCCGAUUUAUCGAGCGGUCAAUGGAGGAAGGUUGGUGGUUCGUAUUCCGUUAGUAGUGGCGAGCGAAAGCGGAACAGCCCAAACCUAUAUUGUGUUGGGGCGUGGAAGAAUGGUCGUAAGAUUAUUUAGACACGUCACUUAAAGGACAGGCCGUUGCAAUAUUGGUGUAAUAAGAAAUAGCGUUGGCUACCUGUGAUGCCAAGGCGAUUGCGAUUCUUGCAUAGUUGAAGACUCCUGGAACGGAGCGCCGAAGACGGUGACAGCCCGGUAGACAAAAUGUGUAGCGCAGUCGUCAGUUAUUUUCUUGAGUACGACGACACACGUGAAACGUCGUUGGAAUUCAGGUCGACUAUGACCUAAGGCUAAAUACCAAAAAUGAUCGAUAGUGAACUAGUACCAUGAGGGAAAGGUGAAAAGCAGCCCGGAGAGGGCGAUGAAAUAGUAUCUGAAACCGUAUGCUUACAAUGAGCCGGAGUCAUCAUACCAACUGAGUUGACAAUUUUUUGUUGUCUGCUGGGUUGGUAUGGUGAUGACGGUGUUCCUAUUGAAGAAUGAGCCUGCGAGUGUGCUAUAUGUCGCGAGCUUAACUCCGCUAAUCCGGAGGAAGGCGUAGAGAAAUCAAGUCUUAACGGGCGUUAAGUGGCAUAUACAUGACCCGAAACCGGGUGGUCAAUCCAUGACCAGGUUGAACCUCGUCGAAAGAUGAGGGGAGGACCGAACCCACCAGCCGUGCAACACUGGGGGAUGAGUUGUGGAUAGGAGAGAAAUUCUAAUCGAACUCGGUAAUAGCUGGUUCUCCUCGAAAUAUAUUUAGGUAUAGCUGUGUAUGUUCCUGCCAGGGGUAGAGCACUGGAUGAAAAUUGGGUCCUUCGGGAUACCGUUUUCAAUCAAACUCCGAAUACUGGUAGUCAAAAAUACGCAAGUCAGACGGUGGGGGCUAAGCUUCAUCGUCCAAAGGGAAACAGCCCAGACCGCCAAUUAAGGUCCCUAAAUCGAUGCUAAGUGUAAAAGGUGGUGUCAAUUCUCAUACAACCAGGAUGUUGGCUUAGAAGCAGCCAUCAUUUAAAGAUAGCGUAACAGCUCACUGGUCAAGAGUUUGCGCGCCGAAAAUGUACCGGGGCUAAGCAUCGUACCGAAAUUGCGGAUUUCAUUUCGAUUCGUCGAAAUGGAGUGGUAGAGGAGCAUUCCCAGCAGCUGUGAAGCCGGGACCGUAAGGUCCAGUGGAGCGCUGGGAAGAGAGAAUGCAGGCACAAGUAGCAAUAACUCCGAUGAAAGUUCGGAGCGCCGAAAACCCAAGGUUUCCAGGGCAACGUGAAUCGCCCCUGGGUUAGUCGAUCCUAAGGCCAGGCCAAAAGGCGUAACCGAUGGAUGAGCAGGUUAAUAUUCCUGCACUUGGCAUAUUUUGUUUUAGUGUGCGCGUCUUUGAAGUUCAAGCGUUGUAUGGUUAUACGUUUGGCAACAUAGAGAUUGAGCCCUCGGGCUCGGUCAAUUUGAGUGGAUGGGGCGCCUAGAAAAGCAUUAAAACGUUAAAGUAUGUUGAAUCGUACCAAAACCGACACAGGUGGGUAGGUCGAGUAGACCAAGGCGAACGAGAGAAACAUAGUCAAGGAACUCUGCAAUACAGCGGCCGUAACUUCGGGAUAAGGCCUGCCCUCGUAAGAGGGCCUCAGCAAAAGACCUCAUGCGACUGUUUACCAAAAACACAGCUCCCUGCAAAAGCGCAAGCUGACGUAUAGGGGGUGAUGCCUGGCCAGUGUCAGAACGUUAAGGGGAGGGGUCAACCGGAGCAAUCCGGGGUAGCCCUGAGCCGAAGCGCUGAUGAACGCCGGCGGUAACUAUAACCGUCCUAAGGUAGCGAAAUUCCUUGUCGGGUGAGUUCCGACCCGCACGAAUGGCAUAACGGUGUGAGGACUGUCUUAACUAUGUACUCGGCGAAAAUGCAAGUGUCGUGAAGAUGCGACGUACCCGCAGCUAGACGAAAAGACCCCGUGAAGCUUUACUAUAGCUUGAUAUUGGUGUAUUGCUAUUUAUGUUCAGAGUAGGUGGGAGCCGCAAGGCGCCGAUGAGACACCACCCUUGAAUUGUAGUGCAUCUAAUCUUUUCCCGUGAAUCCGGGAGAGGAGACAGUAUCUGGUGGGUAGUUUAACUGGGGCGGUUGCCUCCUAAAAUGUAACGGAGGCGUUUACAAAGGUCGGCUUGGUCCGGAUGGAAAUCGGACUGGACGUGCAAACGCAUAAGCCGGCUUUACUGCAAGGGCUACCACCCGCGCAGUCACGAAAGUGGAAGUUAGUGAUCCGACCGUACGAUAUAGGACGGCGGAAGCUCAACGGAUAAAAGCUACUCCGGGGAUAACAGGCUGAUCGCGCCCAAGCGUCCAUAGCGACGGCGCGGUUUGGCACCUCGAUGUCGGCUCAUCGCAUCCUGGGGCUGGAGAAGGUCCCAAGGGUUUGGCUGUUCGCCAAUUAAAGCGGUACGCGAGCUGGGUUCAGAACGUCGUGAGACAGUUCGGUCUCCUAUCUGCUGUGGGCGUUGAACGUUGAAGGAGCUCUUUCCUAGUACGAGAGGACCGGAAAGAAUGGACCGAUUGUGUACCGGUUGUCCUACCAAGGGCAUAGCCGGGUAGCGAAGUCCAGCACGGAUAAGCGCUGAAAGCAUCUAAGCGCGAAGCCGUUCCUGAGAUUAACGUUCGUUUGAGACCCCUCGUAGACUACGAGGUUGAUAGGCACUAGAUGAAAGAUCCGUGAGGAUUUGAGUCGAGGUGUACUAAUUGGUCGAGACUACGGAAGCA
rnacentral:rRNA from 1 species